rnacentral:rRNA from 1 species
GACAGAGGGUGCAAACGUUGUUCGGAAUUACUGGGCGUAAAGCGUGUGUAGGCGGCCACGUAAGUCGGAUGUGAAAGCCCCGGGCUCAACCCGGGAAGUGCACUCGAUACUGCGUGGCUUGAGUACUGGAGAGGUUGGUGGAAUUCUCGGUGUAGCGGUGAAAUGCGUAGAUAUCGGGAGGAACACCUGUGGCGAAAGCGGCGCACUGGACCACAACUGACGCUGAGGCGCGAAAGCUAGGGGAGCAAACAGG